rnacentral:tRNA from 1 species
GUCUCCGUGGCCGAGUGGCGAGGCAACGGCCUGCAAAGCCGCUAACACCGGUUCGAAUCCGGUCGGGGACU